UACGUAGGUGGCAAGCGUUGUCCGGAUUUACUGGGCGUAAAGAGCGCGCAGGCGGUCGUUCAAGUCGCGUGUGAAAGCCCCCGGCUCAACUGGGGAGGGUCACGCGAUACUGAUCGACUCGAAGGCAGGAGAGGGAAGCGGAAUUCCCGGUGUAGUGGUGAAAUGCGUAGAUAUCGGGAGGAACACCAGUGGCGAAGGCGGCUUUCUGGCCUGUUCUUGACGCUGAGGCGCGAAAGCCAGGGGAGCAAAGCGGGAUUAGAUG
rnacentral:rRNA from 1 species